rnacentral:rRNA from 1 species
AUGAAAGUGAUGCUUUGGCGUUUUGCUCAUAAUUGUCUACCCUCGGGAGAGCAACUUCUCCGCCGCCAGGUGCCAACGAGGACUGACUGUUAUUCCUGUGGCGGAUCGGAAGGUAUUGAGCAUGCUUUGCUUUUUUGUGGACAUGCCCGUGCUAUCUGGGAGGAGAUUAAGGAUGUUUUUGGGAUCAAGCUAUAUCGUUCAUCCUUUACAUCUCCAAAGCAAUGGCUUUUCAAUUUCCUAUCCUAUGGUUCUGAUCGAGAUGUCUCUAUUCUGACUAUCACUCUUUGGCACAUUUGGGAGGCUCGGAAUUUUGCUCGUAAUGAACCCGUUGCUCCUCUCCCGAAGCAUACGGCUGCGAGGGCGCGUGCUUACAUUGAUUUGAUCUUCCAACAUCUGUUCAAAACUCAUGCGGCUAGACGUGAGACCCCUGCUUCUAGCUCUCAUUGGUCUCCGCCACCGCAUGGUUCUUUGUUGGUGUCUUCAGACGCAUCUGUUUCUUUGGACCGGGGCUCCUCAGCAAUUGACGUGGUGAUUCAAGACCAUUCGGGCAGUGUGUUGCCGCUGCUUCAGAACCCUUGCCGGGUGUUUCAUCCUCGGAAGUGGCAGAGGCGAUGGCUCUUCGUCGUGCAGUUUAUUUGGCUCGCCAAGAGAACUAUAUGCAUGUGA